AACCAAGAAGACUAAGUCAUGCUUUUUCGGUGAAAAGACAGUUAGGCAGUUAAAAAGUUUGUUUAAUUAUUAUUAAGAAGUAAAAUUCGUAAAUGGUUUAGAAAUUUGUUCAAGGCUAAAAAGCUGAAGCUGUGAUACCCUUGAGGGAAACUGGGAUUAGAUACCCCAUUAUUCACGGAAGUAAAAUAAUAGAAAUUUACCAGAGUACUAUGGAUCAUUGACGUUUAAAACUCAAAGAGCUUGGCGGUGUUUUAGACUCUUUAGGGGAACCUGUCUCAUAAUCGACAAUCCACGCAAGACCUGACCUUUAUUUGCUUUCAGUUUGUAUACCGUCGUCGUCAGGUAACUUUUUAGAAAAAAGAAGUUAGCAAAAGAGUUUUUAAUAAACUCUCACGUCAGAUCAAGGUGCAGCCAACAUAAAGGGGAGGAUGGGUUACAAUUAUAAAAAUUAUAAUUACGGAGUAACAAUUUUAAAGAUAGUUAUGAAGGAGGACUUAAAAGUAAAAUACAAUACAUAAAUAUAUUGAAUUGAGCUCUGAAACGUGU
rnacentral:rRNA from 1 species